AAUAGAUACCCAGGUAGUCCAUGCUGUAAACGAUGAGAACUAGAUGUUAGGGGGCAUGACCUCUUAGUAUCGAAGCUAACGCGAUAAGUUCUCCGCCUGGGGAGUACGGCCGCAAGGUUAAAACUCAAAGAAAUUGACGGGGGCCCGCACAAGCGGUGGAGCAUGUGGUUUAAUUCGAUGCAACGCGAAGAACCUUACCUACCUUUGAAUCCACGGAACCUAGCAGAGAUGUUGGGGUGCCUUCGGGAACCGUGAGACAGGUGCUGCAUGGCUGUCGUCAGCUCGUGUCGUGAGAUGUUGGGUUAAGUCCCGUAACGAGCGCAACCCUUGUCCUUAGUUGCCAUCAGGUUAUGCUGGGCACUUUAAGGAGACUGCCGGUGAUAAACCGGAGGAAGGUGGGGAUGACGUCAAGUCCUCAUGGCCCUUACAGGUAGGGCUACACACGUGCUACAAUGGGCAGUACAGAGGGAAGCCAACCCGCGAGGGGGAGCGAAUCUCAUAAGGCUGUUCGUAGUCCGGAUUGGAGUCUGCAACUCGACU
rnacentral:rRNA from 1 species